rnacentral:tRNA from 1 species
ACGAAAAUGGCGAAAUGGUAUACGCUUCAGAUUUAGAAUCUGAAUAUUAAGGGUUCAAGUCCCUUUUUUCGUA